rnacentral:rRNA from 1 species
GAUGAACGCUGGCGGCGUGCUUAAUACAUGCAAGUCGAGCGAACAGACGAGGAGCUUGCUCCUCUGACGUUAGCGGCGGACGGGUGAGUAACACGUGGAUAACCUACCUAUAAGACUGGGAUAACUUCGGGAAACCGGAGCUAAUACCGGAUAAUAUAUUGAACCGCAUGGUUCAAUAGUGAAAGACGGUUUUGCUGUCACUUAUAGAUGGAUCCGCGCCGCAUUAGCUAGUUGGUAAGGUAACGGCUUACCAAGGCAACGAUGCGUAGCCGACCUGAGAGGGUGAUCGGCCACACUGGAACUGAGACACGGUCCAGACUCCUACGGGAGGCAGCAGUAGGGAAUCUUCCGCAAUGGGCGAAAGCCUGACGGAGCAACGCCGCGUGAGUGAUGAAGGUCUUCGGAUCGUAAAGCUCUGUUAUUAGGGAAGAACAAAUGUGUAAGUAACUAUGCACGUCUUGACGGUACCUAAUCAGAAAGCCACGGCUAACUACGUG